UGCCUACGGGGGGCAGCAGUGAGGAAUAUUGGUCAAUGGGCGCUAGCCUGAACCAGCCAAGUCGCGUGAAGGAUGACUGCCCUAUGGGUUGUAAACUUCUUUUAUAUGGGAAUAAAGUGCAGUAUGUAUACUGCUUUGCAUGUACCUUAUGAAUAAGGAUCGGCUAACUCCGUGUCAGCAGCCGCGGUAAUACGGAGGAUGCGAGCGUUAUCCGGAUUUAUUGGGUUUAAAGGGUGCGUAGGCGGAAUGCCAAGUCAGCGGUAAAAUCGC
rnacentral:rRNA from 1 species